rfam:Erinaceus europaeus unplaced genomic scaffold scaffold00740, whole genome shotgun sequence
UAAAAGGCUCUUUUCAGAGCCACCCACAUCUCCAUGAGAGAGCUGU